CAUUCACGGAGAGUUUGAUCCUGGCUCAGGACGAACGCUGGCGGCGUGCUUAACACAUGCAAGUCGAACGAUGAACCGCUUUCGGGCGGGGAUUAGUGGCGAACGGGUGAGUAACACGUGGGCAAUCUGCCCUGCACUCUGGGACAAGCCCUGGAAACGGGGUCUAAUACCGGAUACUCACUGCCUUGGGCAUCCUUGGUGG
rnacentral:rRNA from 1 species